AUAAUACCCCCUCCGUCCGAAAAACUUGUCCCAAGCUUGUCCCUCAACUGGAUGUAUCUAGCACUAACUUGGUGCUAGAUACAUCCAGUUGAGGGACAAGUUUUUCCGGACGGAGGGAGUACGUA
rnacentral:pre_miRNA from 1 species